AGUAGGUGAAGGCAACAGUAGUGACUCUUGAGCUAACGGUGAGGAAUAUCACGGUGAUGAACGGGAACGCGGGAUGUGCAGGAAACAACUAUGUGUGAUAUACAAGAGAUAAUCACUAGACUACACAUACUCUUCCAGUUUGUGCCUCCAUCCACUGCCUCCUUCCCUCCUGUUCCUACGGCUACUCACGCAUCCAGUCCAGCUCACACCAUGAUGAAUACAAAAAUAGUAUUCGUUUAUUGGAGAAUAUCUGGAAACCCGCAAGUGUGGGUGAGGAGGGUAGUUGAUCAAGGAACGGCGGCCGCCAUCACAGCCUCCUCGCUCUUUUCUGGGCUCCUUUCACGUGUGUGCCUAUUCUGUGAUCACUAUGCAAUAGAAAAGCAUUCGUAAGUACAAAUCCUUCAUAGAUAUACUAUCAACAAGAAAAAAAUCAUUGGAAAUAAGCAGGUAUCGGUG